rnacentral:rRNA from 1 species
AAUCAACGCUGGCGGCGUGCCUAACACAUGCAAGUCGAACGAGAAAGUGGAGCAAUCCAUGAGUAAAGUGGCGACCGGGUGAGUAACACGUGACUAACCUACCUUCAAGUGGGGGAUAACCUCGGGAACCGGGGCUAAUACCGCAUAACAUCCUUAGAGUGGAAAUUACCGGGGAGUCAAAGGAGCAAUUCGCUGGAAGAGGGGGUCGCGGCUGAUUAGUUAGUUGGCGGGGUAAUGGCCCACCAAGACAGAGAUCGGUAGCCGGCCUGAGAGGGCGCACGGCCACACUGGAACUGAAACACGGUCCAGACUCCUACGGGAGGCAGCAGUGGGGAAUUUUGCGCAAUGGGGGAAACCCUGACGCAGCAACGCCGCGUGGAGGAUGAAGU